rnacentral:tRNA from 1 species
AAAUAAGAAGCAAAUUAUGCGCUUAGUUUCGACCUAAGAAUUUGAUCAAUGAUCCUUGUUUA